rnacentral:tRNA from 1 species
AGACUUGUAGUUCAGUGGUAGAACGCAGUCUUGAUAAGACUGAGGACACUGGUUCAAGCCCAGUCAAGUCUA